ACCGGGCAUCCGCAAAGAAGGCUCAGAUAUGCAGGAAGAGGAUUCACCAACAGGACAACAAAAUAGAGCAAGUUGUAUCUGCCUGCAAGACCUGCCAACUCACCAACGCGAGGGCCACAUCAAAU